AGAGAUAGGAGUAGAAAGUUUAUUCAAAGGGAUAAUAACAAAGAAUGUUCCAAACCUAGAGAAAGAGAUCAAUAUCUAAGUACAAGAAGGUUAUAGAACAACUAUCAAACAUGAAAGAGAAAUAAAGACUUUCUCGGACAAACAAAAGCUGAGGGACUUCAUCAACACCAGAUCUGUCCUACAAGAAAUGCUAAAGAGAUUACUUUAGUCAGAAAGAAAAGGAUGUUGAUGAGCAAUAAGAAAUCAUCUGAAGGGACAAAACUCACUGGUAAUAGUGAGUUUACAGAAAAUACAAAAUAUUACAACACUGUAACUGUGGUGUGUAAACUACUCUUAAGAAGAAAGACUAAACAAUGAACAAAUAAAAAAUAAUAAUGACCACAACUUUUCAAGACAUAAGACAGUAUGAUAAGAUAUAAAUAGAA
rnacentral:lncRNA from 1 species